GGGCCCUCCCCUUGAGAUGCUACUGGGUUUUACAUCCAGACUGAGCUUCCUUCCCUCACCCACAUGAAGUGACUACCUUCUGCAGACUCCAGUGGCUCAGGAACUGGGGAUGCAGUGCCAGGCUCGUGGUAUCCUGCAGCAGAUGUGGGGAGUUUUCCUUCUUUAUGUUUCCAUGAAGAUGGGAGGCACUGUAGGGCAAAACAUUGACCAGCCCACAGAGGUGACAGCUAUGGAAGGAGCCACUGUCCAGAUCAAUUGCACAUACGAGACAACUGGGUUCAACGGGCUGUCCUGGUACCAGCAACGUGAUGGCAAAGCACCCACAUUUCUUUCUUACAAUGUUCUGGAUGGUUUGGAUGAGAGAGGUCAUUUUUCUUCAUUCUUUAAUCGCUCUAAAAGGUACAGUUACCUCCUUGUGAAGGAGCUCCAGAUGAAAGACUCUGCCUCUUACCUCUGUGCUGUGAGGGACAUGGUGGCUAUGAGGCCUCUUUAG